ACUGGGCGUGGUGGCACGUGCCUGUAGUCCCAGCUACUCGGAGGCUGAGGUGGGAGGAUCGCUUGAGCCCAGGAGUUCUGGGCUGUAGUGCACUAUGCUGAUUGGGUGUCUACACCAAGUUUGGCAUCAAUAUGGUGACCUCCUGGGAGCCAGGGACCACCAGGUUGCCUAAGAAAGGGUGAACCAGCCCAGGUCAGAAAUGGAGCAGGUCAAAACUCCCUUGCUGAUCAGCAGUGGUAUUGCGCCUGUGAACAGCCACUACACUCCAGUCUGGGCAACACGGCAAGACCCCAUCUCU
rnacentral:SRP_RNA from 1 species